rnacentral:rRNA from 1 species
UUGAACGCUGGCGGCAGGCCUAACACAUGCUAGUCGAACGGUAACAGGAAGAAGCUUGCUUCUUUGCUGACGAGUGGCGGACGGGUGAGUAAUGUCUGGGAAACUGCCUGAUGGAGGGGGAUAACUACUGGAAACGGUAGCUAAUACCGCAUAACGUCGCAAGACCAAAGAGGGGGACCUUCGGGCCUCUUGCCAUCGGAUGUGCCCAGAUGGGAUUAGCUUGUUGGUGGGGUAACGGCUCACCAAGGCGACGAUCCCUAGCUGGUCUGAGAGGAUGACCAGCCACACUGGAACUGAGACACGGUCCAGACUCCUACGGGAGGCAGCAGUGGGGAAUAUUGCACAAUGGGCGCAAGCCUGAUGCAGCCAUGCCGCGUGUAUGAAGAAGGCCUUCGGGUUGUAAAGUACUUUCAGCGGGGAGGAAGGGAGUAAAGUUAAUACCUUUGCUCAUUGACGUUACCCGCAGAAGAAGCACCGGCUAACUCCGUGCCAGCAGCCGCGGUAAUACGGAGGGUGCAAGCGUUAAUCGGAAUUACUGGGCGUAAAGCGCACGCAGGCGGUUUGUUAAGUCAGAUGUGAAAUCCCCGGGCUCAACCUGGGAACUGCAUCUGAUACUGGCAAGCUUGAGUCUCGUAGAGGGGGGUAGAAUUCCAGGUGUAGCGGUGAAAUGCGUAGAGAUCUGGAGGAAUACCGGUGGCGAAGGCGGCCCCCUGGACGAAGACUGACGCUCAGGUGCGAAAGCGUGGGGAGCAAAAAGGAUUAGAUACCCUGGUAGUCCACGCCGUAAACGAUGUCGACUUGGAGGUUGUGCCCUUGAGGCGUGGCUUCCGGAGCUAACGCGUUAAGUCGACCGCCUGGGGAGUACGGCCGCAAGGUUAAAACUCAAAUGAAUUGACGGGGGCCCGCACAAGCGGUGGAGCAUGUGGUUUAAUUCGAUGCAACGCGAAGAACCUUACCUGGUCCUGACAUCCACGGAAGUUUUCAGAGAUGAGAAUGUGCCUUCGGGAACCGUGAGACAGGUGCUGCAUGGCUGUCGUCAGCUCGUGUUGUGAAAUGUUGGGUUAAGUCCCGCAACGAGCGCAACCCUUAUCCUUUGUUGCCAGCGGUCCGGCCGGGAACUCAAAGGAGACUGCCAGUGAUAAACUGGAGGAAGGUGGGGAUGACGUCAAGUCAUCAUGGCCCUUACGACCAGGGCUACACACGUGCUACAAUGGCGCAUACAAAGAGAAGCGACCUCGCGAGAGCAAGCGGACCUCAUAAAGUGCGUCGUAGUCCGGAUUGGAGUCUGCAACUCGACUCCAUGAAGUCGGAAUCGCUAGUAAUCGUGGAUCAGAAUGCCACGGUGAAUACGUUCCCGGGCCUUGUACACACCGCCCGUCACACCAUGGGAGUGGGUUGCAAAAGAAGUAGGUAGCUUAACCUUCGGGAGGGCGCUUACCACUUUGUGAUUCAU